ACCAGGUUUAAUACAAUAGCUGACUGAGCUGCAGGUUCUGUGUCAGAGCUGGUUACCUUGGUAACGCGUCACAAUGAAAUAGUCCACUCAGCCGCUUCUUGUGAAAAACUUAGGAUUUUAUGGGUA